UACACAUGCAGUCGAGCGGAGUGAUGGUGCUUGCACUAUCACUUAGCGGCGGACGGKUGAGAAAUGCUUAGGAAUCUGCCAUUUAGUGGGGGACAACAUUCCGAAAGGAAUGCUAAUACCGCAUACGUCCUACGGGAGAAAGCAGGGGAUCUUCGGACCUUGCGCUAAAUGAUGAGCCUAAGUCGGAUUAGCUAGUUGGUGGGGUAAAGGCCUACCAAGGCGACGAUCUGUAGCGGGUCUGAGAGGAUGAUCCGCCACACUGGGACUGAGACACGGCCCAGACUCCUACGGGAGGCAGCAGUGGGGAAUAUUGGACAAUGGGCGGAAGCCUGAUCCAGCCAUGCCGCGUGUGUGAAGAAGGCCUUUUGGUUGUAAAGCACUUUAAGCGAGGAGGAGGCUACCUGGAUUWAUWCUCUAGGAUAGUGGACGUUACUCGCAGAAUAAGCACCGGCUAACUCUGUGCCAGCAGCCGCGGUAAUACAGAGGGUGCGAGCGUUAAUCGGAUUUACUGGGCGUAAAGCGUGCGUAGGCGGCUUUUUAAGUCGGAUGUGAAAUCCCCGAGCUUAACUUGGGAAUUGCAUUCGAUACUGGGAAGCUAGAGUAUGGGAGAGGAUGGUAGAAUUCCAGGUGUAGCGGUGAAAUGCGUAGAGAUCUGGAGGAA
rnacentral:rRNA from 1 species